rnacentral:lncRNA from 1 species
UUCUAAAGAAGUCUUCUUCGCCAAACAGAUCUGAAAAAUAAAAUGUUGUUUGCGAUUUCAUACUUUGAACUCGUGUGAUGACUUGCGUGGUUUCUCCAAUCACCCAAAACUUCACCACAACAGCUACCUACUCGUUAACCACCCAGAAUCGUGAGCUUAUGAACCUUACAUAAUUUGUAAUCAAAAUCUUCAGUUUUUUUUUAUGAGGUUUGAAAGAAAAUGUACGAUAUGUGGUUUGUGUGGAUAGGAAAUGUGAAAGGGUAAGAAAAAUUGAAACUUUAGGGCAUUAACACUUUCAAUUUGGUAGUUCAUGGUGGUUGAGGUAUUGAUGUCAAUGGCAAAGUUGUAAACAUUUGGUGAAGAUGAUAAGCUAAAAGCCUUAUAGUCAAAAAAAAAAAAAAAAAAAGUAAUGGCAUUUUCUUGAAUAACUAGAACUUCUAGGGUGAAUAGGACAAAACAAAGUUUCAAAAAAAACAUAGGUUAUUUUGUGUUUAACUUGAAAUUUUGAGUCAUUUUUUAAAGAACCCCGAUUGAAAUAUGGGUAAAAUAAACAAAUCUAAAUGGGAAUUCUCUCAAAUAGACUUUUCUAAAUUUUUGUCACAAAAAUAGAUUUCAAAAACAUAAAUGACCAAAAUAGCAUUUUUUAUUUUGAAAACUUUGAUUUUUUUAAUUUUUUUAAAUUUGAAAUCCUAUCCCCAAAACCCCACUCCUCAAUUUUAAACCCUAAACCCUAAAGUCUAAACCCUAAAC